rnacentral:lncRNA from 1 species
GGAGCGACCUUAUUGGAGCUUUGAGACCCUGCCUGGUAUAACAUGCACAUAAGCAUGCUUAGCCCUCUAAUCAUUUCGUAUGGACUUCACCUGCAAGGUUUCAUCUUCAUCCUUCAAUGGUCAACUACAUGCAGCAUAGAAUGAAACUAGCAUGAGAGAGAGAGAACAAAUGAUAUUCAACUAUGGUUAUCUAUACCAACAGCAUGAUAAGAGAGCAGUGAAGAAAGGCAUCAGAUUAUGCAAACACACAAACACAA